GAUGAACGCUGGCGGCGUGCCUAAUACAUGCAAGUCGAGCGAACGGACGAGAAGCUUGCUUCUCUGAUGUUAGCGGCGGACGGGUGAGUAACACGUGGAUAACCUACCUAUAAGACUGGGAUAACUUCGGGAAACCGGAGCUAAUACCGGAUAAUAUUUUGAACCGCAUGGUUCAAAAGUGAAAGACGGUCUUGCUGUCACUUAUAGAUGGAUCCGCGCUGCAUUAGCUAGUUGGUAAGGUAACGGCUUACCAAGGCAACGAUGCAUAGCCGACCUGAAAGGGUGAUCGGCCACACUGGAACUGAGACACGGUCCAGACUCCUACGGGAGGCAGCAGUAGGGAAUCUUCCGCAAUGGGCGAAAGCCUGACGGAGCAACGCCGCGUGAGUGAUGAAGGUCUUCGGAUCGCAAAACUCUGUUAUUAGGGAAGAACAUAUGUGUAAGUAACUGUGCACAUCUUGACGGUACCUAAUCAGAAAGCCACGGCUAACUACGUG
rnacentral:rRNA from 1 species